rnacentral:rRNA from 1 species
UACAGAGGUCCCAAGCGUUGUUCGGAUUCAUUGGGCGUAAAGGGUGCGUAGGUGGCGCUGUAAGUCGGGUGUGAAAUUUCGGAGCUUAACUCCGAAACUGCAUUCGAUACUGCGGUGCUUGAGGACUGGAGAGGAGACUGGAAUUCAUGGUGUAGCAGUGAAAUGCGUAGAGAUCGUAAGGAAGACCAGUGGCGAAGGCGGGUCUCUGGACAGUUCCUGACGCUGAGGCACGAAGGCCAGGGGAGCAAACGGG